UCAACAUCGAUGGAGCAUUAUGGAAUAAAAGUUCUAUAAUGAUCAGCUUCAGACCAGAGACGUUUCAACUCGGUGGCAUAUUCAGUGAUAGAUAAAUCUCCCUGACGAAGCUGACGUAAUUGAGAACGGAUCUCAAAUGCUUGAGCAGAAUUCUGCUUUUGUGAGAAUAUUUGGGCCACCGUCUCCCAGACUUCAUGUGC
rnacentral:lncRNA from 1 species